rnacentral:rRNA from 1 species
GGGUUGUGAGGUUAAGCGACUAAGCGUACACGGUGGAUGCCCUGGCAGUCAGAGGCGAUGAAGGACGUGCUAAUCUGCGAUAAGCGUCGGUAAGGUGAUAUGAACCGUUAUAACCGGCGAUUUCCGAAUGGGGAAACCCAGUGUGAUUCGUCACACUAUCAUUAACUGAAUCCAUAGGUUAAUGAGGCGAACCGGGGGAACUGAAACAUCUAAGUACCCCGAGGAAAAGAAAUCAACCGAGAUUCCCCCAGUAGCGGCGAGCGAACGGGGAGCAGCCCAGAGCCUGAAUCAGUGUGUGUGUUAGUGGAAGCGUCUGGAAAGGCGUGCGAUACAGGGUGACAGCCCCGUACACAAAAAUGCACAUACUGUGAGCUCGAUGAGUAGGGCGGGACACGUGGUAUCCUGUCUGAAUAUGGGGGGACCAUCCUCCAAGGCUAAAUACUCCUGACUGACCGAUAGUGAACCAGUACCGUGAGGGAAAGGCGAAAAGAACCCCGGCGAGGGGAGUGAAAAAGAACCUGAAACCGUGUACGUACAAGCAGUGGGAGCACGCUUAGGCGUGUGACUGCGUACCUUUUGUAUAAUGGGUCAGCGACUUAUAUUCUGUAGCAAGGUUAACCGAAUAGGGGAGCCGAAGGGAAACCGAGUCUUAACUGGGCGUUAAGUUGCAGGGUAUAGACCCGAAACCCGGUGAUCUAGCCAUGGGCAGGUUGAAGGUUGGGUAACACUAACUGGAGGACCGAACCGACUAAUGUUGAAAAAUUAGCGGAUGACUUGUGGCUGGGGGUGAAAGGCCAAUCAAACCGGGAGAUAGCUGGUUCUCCCCGAAAGCUAUUUAGGUAGCGCCUCGUGAAUUCAUCUCCGGGGGUAGAGCACUGUUUCGGCAAGGGGGUCAUCCCGACUUACCAACCCGAUGCAAACUGCGAAUACCGGAGAAUGUUAUUACGGGAGACACACGGCGGGUGCUAACGUCCGUCGUGAAGAGGGAAACAACCCAGACCGCCAGCUAAGGUCCCAAAGUCAUGGUUAAGUGGGAAACGAUGUGGGAAGGCCCAGACAGCCAGGAUGUUGGCUUAGAAGCAGCCAUCAUUUAAAGAAAGCGUAAUAGCUCACUGGUCGAGUCGGCCUGCGCGGAAGAUGUAACGGGGCUAAACCAUGCACCGAAGCUGCGGCAGCGACGCUUAUGCGUUGUUGGGUAGGGGAGCGUUCUGUAAGCCUGUGAAGGUGUGCUGUGAGGUAUGCUGGAGGUAUCAGAAGUGCGAAUGCUGACAUAAGUAACGAUAAAGCGGGUGAAAAGCCCGCUCGCCGGAAGACCAAGGGUUCCUGUCCAACGUUAAUCGGGGCAGGGUGAGUCGACCCCUAAGGCGAGGCCGAAAGGCGUAGUCGAUGGGAAACAGGUUAAUAUUCCUGUACUUGGUGUUACUGCGAAGGGGGACGGAGAAGGCUAUGUUGGCCGGGCGACGGUUGUCCCGGUUUAAGCGUGUAGGCUGGUUUUCCAGGCAAAUCCGGAAAAUCAAGGCCGAGGCGUGAUGACGAGGCACUACGGUGCUGAAGCAACAAAUGCCCUGCUUCCAGGAAAAGCCUCUAAGCAUCAGGUAACAUCAAAUCGUACCCCAAACCGACACAGGUGGUCAGGUAGAGAAUACCAAGGCGCUUGAGAGAACUCGGGUGAAGGAACUAGGCAAAAUGGUGCCGUAACUUCGGGAGAAGGCACGCUGAUACGUAGGUGAAGCGACUUGCUCGUGGAGCUGAAAUCAGUCGAAGAUACCAGCUGGCUGCAACUGUUUAUUAAAAACACAGCACUGUGCAAACACGAAAGUGGACGUAUACGGUGUGACGCCUGCCCGGUGCCGGAAGGUUAAUUGAUGGGGUUAGCGCAAGCGAAGCUCUUGAUCGAAGCCCCGGUAAACGGCGGCCGUAACUAUAACGGUCCUAAGGUAGCGAAAUUCCUUGUCGGGUAAGUUCCGACCUGCACGAAUGGCGUAAUGAUGGCCAGGCUGUCUCCACCCGAGACUCAGUGAAAUUGAACUCGCUGUGAAGAUGCAGUGUACCCGCGGCAAGACGGAAAGACCCCGUGAACCUUUACUAUAGCUUGACACUGAACAUUGAGCCUUGAUGUGUAGGAUAGGUGGGAGGCUUUGAAGUGUGGACGCCAGUCUGCAUGGAGCCGACCUUGAAAUACCACCCUUUAAUGUUUGAUGUUCUAACGUGGACCCGUGAUCCGGGUUGCGGACAGUGUCUGGUGGGUAGUUUGACUGGGGCGGUCUCCUCCUAAAGAGUAACGGAGGAGCACGAAGGUUGGCUAAUCCUGGUCGGACAUCAGGAGGUUAGUGCAAUGGCAUAAGCCAGCUUGACUGCGAGCGUGACGGCGCGAGCAGGUGCGAAAGCAGGUCAUAGUGAUCCGGUGGUUCUGAAUGGAAGGGCCAUCGCUCAACGGAUAAAAGGUACUCCGGGGAUAACAGGCUGAUACCGCCCAAGAGUUCAUAUCGACGGCGGUGUUUGGCACCUCGAUGUCGGCUCAUCACAUCCUGGGGCUGAAGUAGGUCCCAAGGGUAUGGCUGUUCGCCAUUUAAAGUGGUACGCGAGCUGGGUUUAGAACGUCGUGAGACAGUUCGGUCCCUAUCUGCCGUGGGCGCUGGAGAACUGAGGGGGCUGCUCCUAGUACGAGAGGACCGGAGUGGACGCAUCACUGGUGUUCGGGUUGUCAUGCCAAUGGCACUGCCCGGUAGCUAAAUGCGGAAGAGAUAAGUGCUGAAAGCAUCUAAGCACGAAACUUGCCCCGAGAUGAGUUCUCCCUGACCCUUUAAGGGUCCUGAAGGAACGUUGAAGACGACGACGUUGAUAGGCCGGGUGUGUAAGCGCAGCGAUGCGUUGAGCUAACCGGUACUAAUGAACCGUGAGGCUUAACCUUACAACGCCGAAG